AGUGAACGCUGGCGGUAGGCCUAACACAUGCAAGUCGAGCGGCAGCACAGUAAGAGCUUGCUCUUACGGGUGGCGAGUGGCGGACGGGUGAGGAAUACAUCGGAAUCUACUUUUUCGUGGGGGAUAACGUAGGGAAACUUACGCUAAUACCGCAUACGACCUACGGGUGAAAGCAGGGGAUCUUCGGACCUUGCGCGAUUGAAUGAGCCGAUGUCGGAUUAGCUAGUUGGCGGGGUAAAGGCCCACCAAGGCGACGAUCCGUAGCUGGUCUGAGAGGAUGAUCAGCCACACUGGAACUGAGACACGGUCCAGACUCCUACGGGAGGCAGCAGUGGGGAAUAUUAGACAAUGGGCGCAAGCCUGAUCCAGCCAUACCGCGUAGGUGAAGAAGGCCUUCGGGUUGUAAAGCCCUUUUGUUGGGAAAGAAAAGCAGCAGGUUAAUACCCCGCUGUUCUGACGGUACCCAAAGAAUAAGCACCGGCUAACUUCGUG
rnacentral:rRNA from 1 species